UCUAUAAGAAGAGGGAGUUUUGGUCAAUUUUUCGCUUGCCACUUUUCUGAUUUGGACGAAUUUAGCCUUCAAUUUACGGACAUGGAGUGUUAGCCGGCUGCCCAUAAUUGUAAUUGUGCCUAAUUGCCUUAUGGCCCACGUGGGUGCAUCACACGCAGCCGCGUAUCUUGAUCUUCCUUUCCAUCACAUAAUACACACACUGACACACAUGCAGUCUCUCUCUUCUGCAAUUUUCCCUCUCUCUCUCUCUCUCUCUCUCUCUCUCUAUUCUGCAAUCCUUCAUCACGACUCCAUCGCCGUCCACGUAAAGUCUUUGGCCAGAUCGGGACUUCAACGCUUUUUCGGACGGAAGCAAUUUUUUCGUUCGCCUUCCCCCGACCGAUGCAGCCAUGGGUCUGGUCUGGAUCUGAAUCAGGUUCUUCAACUCACACUAGGGUUCCUCUCGUGCUCUGAAAAUCGAAGGACGAUAAAAGUGGAAAUAAAACAAUUGAUUUGGUCCCCCACAUUCCCAGGUGGGUUUUCUACCUGGAAAUUAAGCCUUCCAUUUACUACCAGGUAAUACGAGCUUUCGAUAGAGAAUAUAUGUGUAGCAAAGUUGGCUAUCAUUGCCAACAAUUGCCCUCCUCUUUGGAAGUCUGAGAUAAUGUACUACGCCAUGUUGGCGAAAGUUGGAGUUCACCACUACAAUGGGAGUAAGUUUAGUGCCAUACAGAUUUAUUUACUAGCUUUGUUAUUUCUUUUCUUUAUUUUUUGUUUUGUUUCUUUCCUUUAUGCAUUUAAUUUUUUCUGUCGUAUUGAACUUCUUAUUGAUGUCUAUUUUGUUUUUGAAGCAAGCAUGAAAUUAUGGAUGCAUGGAAUUUGACAAAAAUAGGAAUCAUCCACUUUUCUGAAAUACCAUGGGAAAAGAGGGAUCAUCCACUUUUCGGAGAAUCCAAAAGGGGUUGCAGUGACACAUAUGGAAAUGUUCAAAAUAUAGAGCUUCAACGAAAUGUGCUAGCUGCCAAGGGAACGAGGAAUGGUCACAAUUAGGACCCUUUAUGAUCUUGCAGAUGCAACACCUUUGCUACAAAUGCAAUGGUACGAGCGAGAGCAUUAAAGAGAAAGGCCAAUGCCCUCAAUGCAAGAGACGAAGCUGCUGGAAAUUAUCGUGGAGAAGAACAUGCAGAAUGGACGGAAAAUCACAUUAGCUAGAGAAGCUGAUGAGACGGUAUGCUAUUACUCUUACACUGUCCGACAAGAUUACAAGUGGAGAUGGCAUGUUCAUGUUCGAUGGUUCUCUUGCUAGAUUUUUGGUUAGGAAGAGUUUCCUUUUGUUUUUGGUUAGUUAGAUUGUCAGUUCUAUUUCCCCGGCCCCAGCUGAGGUUUUGAAGUACUCUAGUGCUUUACACCCUUUCAUUAAGGAUUUUUUCCCCCCUCAAGGUCUCAGUGUAUUAUUACAACUUCAAGUCUAAAUACUUUUGCUUUGUCUAAGUCCCACAAACUCUACUUUAAUGCUAGGCAUUUUGCAAUCAUAUAUAUACCUGUAAGCAAAAUCGUGCAGUUAAUGUA